rnacentral:rRNA from 1 species
GAUGAACGCUAGCUACAGGCUUAACACAUGCAAGUCGCGGGGCAGCAUGUCGGUUGCUUGCAACCGAUGAUGGCGACCGGCGCACGGGUGAGUAACGCGUAUCCAACCUGCCCUUCACCACGGAAUAAUCCAGUGAAAAUUGGUCUAAUACCGUAUGAGGUCAUACGAUGGCAUCAGAAUAUGACGAAAGGUUUAGCGGUGAAGGAUGGGGAUGCGUCUGAUUAGCUUGUUGGCGGGGUAACGGCCCACCAAGGCGACGAUCAGUAGGGGUUCUGAGAGGAAGGUCCCCCACAUUGGAACUGAGACACGGUCCAAAACUCCUACGGGAGGCAGCAGUGAGGAAUAUUGGUCAAUGGGCGUGAGCCUGAACCAGCCAAGUAGCGUGCAGGACGACGGCCCUAUGGGUUGUAAACUGCUUUUAUAAGGGAAUAAAGUGAGUCUCGUGAGACUUUUUGCAUGUACCUUAUGAAUAAGGACCGGCUAAUUCCGUGCCAG